rnacentral:rRNA from 1 species
GGGUCAGUAGGUUGGUCGUGCCACCGGUACGUACUGGUCUCACUGAUUCCUCCUUCCUGAAGAACCGUAAUGCCAUUAAUUUGGUGUCGCGGGGAAACAGGACUGUUACUUUGAAAAAAUUAGAGUGUUUAAAGCAAGCUAACGCCUGAAUACAUUAGCAUGGAAUAAUGAAAUAGGACGAUCGAUCCUAUUUUGUUGGUUUCUAGGAUUGACGUA